GGUUAAGCGACUAAGCGUACACGGUGGAUGCCCUGGCAGUCAGAGGCGAUGAAGGACGUGCUAAUCUGCGAUAAGCGUCGGUAAGGUGAUAUGAACCGUUAUAACCGGCGAUUUCCGAAUGGGGAAACCCAGUGUGAUUCGUCACACUAUCAUUAACUGAAUCCAUAGGUUAAUGAGGCGAACCGGGGGAACUGAAACAUCUAAGUACCCCGAGGAAAAGAAAUCAACCGAGAUUCCCCCAGUAGCGGCGAGCGAACGGGGAGCAGCCCAGAGCCUGAAUCAGUGUGUGUGUUAGUGGAAGCGUCUGGAAAGGCGCGCGAUACAGGGUGACAGCCCCGUACACAAAAAUGCACAUGCUGUGAGCUCGAUGAGUAGGGCGGGACACGUGGUAUCCUGUCUGAAUAUGGGGGGACCAUCCUCCAAGGCUAAAUACUCCUGACUGACCGAUAGUGAACCAGUACCGUGAGGGAAAGGCGAAAAGAACCCCGGCGAGGGGAGUGAAAAAGAACCUGAAACCGUGUACGUACAAGCAGUGGGAGCACGCUUAGGCGUGUGACUGCGUACCUUUUGUAUAAUGGGUCAGCGACUUAUAUUCUGUAGCAAGGUUAACCGAAUAGGGGAGCCGAAGGGAAACCGAGUCUUAACUGGGCGUUAAGUUGCAGGGUAUAGACCCGAAACCCGGUGAUCUAGCCAUGGGCAGGUUGAAGGUUGGGUAACACUAACUGGAGGACCGAACCGACUAAUGUUGAAAAAUUAGCGGAUGACUUGUGGCUGGGGGUGAAAGGCCAAUCAAACCGGGAGAUAGCUGGUUCUCCCCGAAAGCUAUUUAGGUAGCGCCUCGUGAAUUCAUCUCCGGGGGUAGAGCACUGUUUCGGCAAGGGGGUCAUCCCGACUUACCAACCCGAUGCAAACUGCGAAUACCGGAGAAUGUUAUCACGGGAGACACACGGCGGGUGCUAACGUCCGUCGUGAAGAGGGAAACAACCCAGACCGCCAGCUAAGGUCCCAAAGUCAUGGUUAAGUGGGAAACGAUGUGGGAAGGCCCAGACAGCCAGGAUGUUGGCUUAGAAGCAGCCAUCAUUUAAAGAAAGCGUAAUAGCUCACUGGUCGAGUCGGCCUGCGCGGAAGAUGUAACGGGGCUAAACCAUGCACCGAAGCUGCGGCAGCGACGCUUAUGCGUUGUUGGGUAGGGGAGCGUUCUGUAAGCCUGUGAAGGUGUGCUGUGAGGCAUGCUGGAGGUAUCAGAAGUGCGAAUGCUGACAUAAGUAACGAUAAAGCGGGUGAAAAGCCCGCUCGCCGGAAGACCAAGGGUUCCUGUCCAACGUUAAUCGGGGCAGGGUGAGUCGACCCCUAAGGCGAGGCCGAAAGGCGUAGUCGAUGGGAAACAGGUUAAUAUUCCUGUACUUGGUGUUACUGCGAAGGGGGGACGGAGAAGGCUAUGUUGGCCGGGCGACGGUUGUCCCGGUUUAAGCGUGUAGGCUGGUUUUCCAGGCAAAUCCGGAAAAUCAAGGCUGAGGCGUGAUGACGAGGCACUACGGUGCUGAAGCAACAAAUGCCCUGCUUCCAGGAAAAGCCUCUAAGCAUCAGGUAACAUCAAAUCGUACCCCAAACCGACACAGGUGGUCAGGUAGAGAAUACCAAGGCGCUUGAGAGAACUCGGGUGAAGGAACUAGGCAAAAUGGUGCCGUAACUUCGGGAGAAGGCACGCUGAUAUGUAGGUGAAGUCCCUCGCGGAUGGAGCUGAAAUCAGUCGAAGAUACCAGCUGGCUGCAACUGUUUAUUAAAAACACAGCACUGUGCAAACACGAAAGUGGACGUAUACGGUGUGACGCCUGCCCGGUGCCGGAAGGUUAAUUGAUGGGGUUAGCGCAAGCGAAGCUCUUGAUCGAAGCCCCGGUAAACGGCGGCCGUAACUAUAACGGUCCUAAGGUAGCGAAAUUCCUUGUCGGGUAAGUUCCGACCUGCACGAAUGGCGUAAUGAUGGCCAGGCUGUCUCCACCCGAGACUCAGUGAAAUUGAACUCGCUGUGAAGAUGCAGUGUACCCGCGGCAAGACGGAAAGACCCCGUGAACCUUUACUAUAGCUUGACACUGAACAUUGAGCCUUGAUGUGUAGGAUAGGUGGGAGGCUUUGAAGUGUGGACGCCAGUCUGCAUGGAGCCGACCUUGAAAUACCACCCUUUAAUGUUUGAUGUUCUAACGUUGACCCGUAAUCCGGGUUGCGGACAGUGUCUGGUGGGUAGUUUGACUGGGGCGGUCUCCUCCUAAAGAGUAACGGAGGAGCACGAAGGUUGGCUAAUCCUGGUCGGACAUCAGGAGGUUAGUGCAAUGGCAUAAGCCAGCUUGACUGCGAGCGUGACGGCGCGAGCAGGUGCGAAAGCAGGUCAUAGUGAUCCGGUGGUUCUGAAUGGAAGGGCCAUCGCUCAACGGAUAAAAGGUACUCCGGGGAUAACAGGCUGAUACCGCCCAAGAGUUCAUAUCGACGGCGGUGUUUGGCACCUCGAUGUCGGCUCAUCACAUCCUGGGGCUGAAGUAGGUCCCAAGGGUAUGGCUGUUCGCCAUUUAAAGUGGUACGCGAGCUGGGUUUAGAACGUCGUGAGACAGUUCGGUCCCUAUCUGCCGUGGGCGCUGGAGAACUGAGGGGGGCUGCUCCUAGUACGAGAGGACCGGAGUGGACGCAUCACUGGUGUUCGGGUUGUCAUGCCAAUGGCACUGCCCGGUAGCUAAAUGCGGAAGAGAUAAGUGCUGAAAGCAUCUAAGCACGAAACUUGCCCCGAGAUGAGUUCUCCCUGAC
rnacentral:rRNA from 1 species